GCAGUGAUAGGACAGCAUGAAUAGCCGGCAAACUUCUUGAGAACUGAGAAGAUAGACCUCGUUUCUGUUAAAUUUUCCUCAGUGCACAGUACAGUGCUUAGGGCUCAGUAGGCAUUCUAUAAGUACCACUGAUGGACUGAGUUCCCCUUUUCUUCUCCAUAGCUAGGCCAAACUCAACUCAAGACUACCGGAGAGGAAUUGAGGAAUUCUUCUGCCGAGUAUCAUCCCAAAGCAGUGCCUUGAUUCACCAUUCAGGAGAGCAGUGUUCACGUGUUCUAUUCAUCACAGAAGAGAAAAGCCCCCUUCAGUCUCCAGAAAGUGAUGAAUGAAAAGGACUUUCAAAGCCGAGUCGUUUAUUUCAGAUUCCCCGUGAAAAGUUGCUCUUGGGAAACAGAUAGGAGCAGUCUUCAGCCAUCUUAACCCAACCCUGGAAAUGGCAAAUGAAUUCACAACCUCAGAUCAUUACCAAAAUACCAGUAAGUGGAACUCUAGUCCCUAUUACAACCGGAGUAAAUAACAGAGGGCAUAAAUCCAGAUAGAACCAAGAAACAAAGGCCGUGCUUCAGAAGUAAAUAGUACUUAUAUAUUUAUAAACUCCC
rnacentral:lncRNA from 1 species